rnacentral:rRNA from 1 species
AGUGAACGCUGGCGGUAGGCCUAACACAUGCAAGUCGAACGGCAGCACAGUAAGAGCUUGCUCUUACGGGUGGCGAGUGGCGGACGGGUGAGGAAUACAUCGGAAUCUACUUUUUCGUGGGGGAUAACGUAGGGAAACUUACGCUAAUACCGCAUACGACCUACGGGUGAAAGCAGGGGAUCUUCGGACCUUGCGCGAUUGAAUGAGCCGAUGUCGGAUUAGCUAGUUGGCGGGGUAAAGGCCCACCACGGCGACGAUCCGUAGCUGGUCUGAGAGGAUGAUAAGCCACACUGGAACUGAGACACGGCCCAGACUCCUGCGGGAGGCAGCAGUGGGGAAUAUUGGACAAUGGGCGCAAGCCUGAUCCAGCCAUACCGCGUGGGUGAAGAAGGCCUUCGGGUUGUAAAGCCCUUUUGUUGGGAAAGAAAAGCAGCAGGUUAAUACCCCGCUGUUCUGACGGUACCCAAAGAAUAAGCACCGGCUAACUUCGUG